ACUCCUGUGUGGAUUUUCUUCCUCUAAGAGGAGAUUUUAGUGGAGUUAACAUUGAUGAUUCUACCGAUAAAGAUAAUUGAAUGGGAGUUUCAGAAAUCCCUAGAGCUGCAAAAUGGAGAUCUCUUUUUGGAGUUGACAAAGAUAGCAAUGUCAACCUGCAAAUUUUCCUUUCAAAAACAACAUUCUAUUAACGAGAAAUUAAAGGUGUGGAUGCCCAAAGAAAAUAAGAAUGUACUGGAACAAUCGAAUAGAAGCAAAGUUCUGGCAAGGUGGUGGAAGCUUUGGAUGGGUUUGGGGAAAUAAUGGGAGUAAAUAAUCCCAGAAUGGGUACUAUUAUAAAUGAGAAUCUGCAUGUACAGGGAAAUGAGAUUGUGGAGAUGGUAAUGGCAAAUUUUUUUUAUCAGUUUAGUCCACCAUAUACAUCAAUUUAGUCCAGAAGUUUAGUCCACCAUGUACAUCUGUUUUUUAUGUCUUGUUAGCAGAUUAAGAAGACGAAGAACAGAGAGAAAAGAGGAGGGAGUCAGCGCUAGCUAGUCCAUGUUAUGCUGUAGUAGAGUUGCUUGGUAAGUGUUUGUGGAAAUGCUUCAAUUAAUUGUGUUCUGUAUUUGCUAGUUCACCUCACCUGUAAACCAAAUGUUGGCAUAAUCCUCAGUAUGCAAGAGAUUAGAGGAAUCAUUGGUGAUUUAUCUUGCCCAAGACAGUAACAUCAUGUGGAUUGUGCACGUAUAUGGGAGGCUAGUGUACCAUCGAGAGGGCCUGGUUAGCAUGGAAACUACUCCAUGACAGAGUCUCAACUGAUGAUGCGAUGCGGGAUUCAGGGUAAUGCUUACGCGGAUAUCUUAGCUAAACAUGGAGAUGGAGCUAUUAGUUCACCGCGGAUCCCCAACCUCCAAUGAAGGAAGACAUAGAUGUUCUCCCCACUGGUCACUUCUGUUAGCAUUUCUUAGACGCUUGCAUAUUGCUUCCAUGGCACCAAAGUUAGUUUGAGCUAUUUGAACAUACUGCUAGCAUAUUGCUUGAGACGGGAUCAAACUAUGCUUUUGACUUUGAUUCUUUACUUUACUCCAGUAGAACCUGGUUCACCGAGAAUAUGAGAAGAAGCAAAAAGACUCCUGCAAAGAAGAAAUAAGUUUUUUUUCUCUUUUUUUCUGGUAUUGUUGUGGUCUAGAUGUUGUUGAGUCAAACUAUAAACUCUUUGUUUGUUCUAGUUUUGCCAGACUUAGCUUUAUGUUGUAUAGUUACAACAAUUUGUCGAUCAGUAAGGGGGGUUGAGAGAUAAGUUUGGUGAUGAAUCACCUCGUGAAUCAAAACUCAGGCCAAAUCUGAGCUUA